UACAGAGGGGGCAAGCGUUGUUCGGAAUUACUGGGCGUAAAGGGCGCGUAGGCGGCCUUCUAAGUCGAACGUGAAAUCCCUGGGCUCAACCCAGGAACUGCGUCCGAGACUGGGAGGCUUGAAUCCGGGAGAGGGAUGCGGAAUUCCUGGUGUAGCGGUGAAAUGCGUAGAUAUCAGGAGGAACACCGGUGGCGAAGGCGGCUUUCUGGACAGAUACCGACGCUGAGGCACGAAAGCUAGGGGAGCAAACAGG
rnacentral:rRNA from 1 species